AGAGUUUGAUCCUGGNCUCAGAACGAACGCUGGCGGCAGGCCUAACACAUGCNAGUCGAACGCCCUAGCAAUAGGGAGUGGCGCACGGGUGCGUAACGCGUGGGAAUAUGCCCUUGACUACGGAACAACAUCGGGAAACUGAUGCUAAUACCGUAUAAUGUCUUCGGACCAAAGAUUUAUCGGUCAAGGAUUAGCCCGCGUCUGAUUAGCUAGUUGGUGAGGUAACGGCUCACCAAGGCGACGAUCAGUAGGGGGUCUGAGAGGAUGAUCCCCCACACUGGGACUGAGACACGGCCCAGACUCCUACGGGAGGCAGCAGUGAGGAAUAUUGGACAAUGGGCGCAAGCCUGAUCCAGCCAUGCCGCGUGAGUGAUGAAGGCCUUCGGGUUGUAAAGCUCUUUCAGAUGCGAAGAUAAUGACGGUAACAUCAGAAGAAGCCCCGGCUAAAUUCGUGCCAGCAGCCGCGGUAAUACGAAUGGGGCAAGCGUUGUUCGGAAUCACUGGGCUUAAAGCGUGCGUAGGCGGAUUUGCAAGUCAGAAGUGAAAUCCCAGGGGCUUAACCCUGGAAUUGCUUUUGAAACUGCAAGUCUAGAAUCUUGAAGAGGUUAGCAGAAUUCCGAGUGUAGAGGUGAAAUUCGCAGAUAUUCGGAGGAAUACCAAUGGCGUAGGCAGCUAACUGGGCNAGUAUUGACGCUGAGGCACGAAAGCGUGGGGAGCAAACANGAU
rnacentral:rRNA from 1 species